UACGUAGGGCGCAAGCGUUGUCCGGAAUUAUUGGGCGUAAAGAGCUCGUAGGCGGCCUGUUGCGUCCGCUGUGAAAUCCCCGGGGCUUAACCCCGGGCUUGCAGUGGAUACGGGCAGGCUGGAGGCAGGCAGGGGGAGAACGGAAUUCCCGGUGUAGCGGUGAAAUGCGCAGAUAUCGGGAGGAACACCUGUGGCGAAAGCGGCGCACUGGACCACUACUGACGCUGAUGCGCGAAAGCUAGGGGAGCAAACAGG
rnacentral:rRNA from 1 species